rnacentral:rRNA from 1 species
CCUACGGGGGGCUGCAGUGGGGAAUAUUGGACAAUGGGGGGAACCCUGAUCCAGCCAUGCCGCGUGUGAGAAGAAGGCCCUCGGGUUGUAAAGCACUUUCAGUGAGGAAGAACGCCUGGUGGUUAAUACCCAUCAGGAAAGACAUCACUCACAGAAGAAGCACCGGCUAACUCCGUGCCAGCAGCCGCGGUAAUACGGAGGGUGCGAGCGUUAAUCGGAAUUACUGGGCGUAAAGCGCGCGUAGGUGGCUUGAUAAGCCGGUUGUGAAAGCCCCGGGCUCAACCUGGGAACGGCAUCCGGAACUGUCAAGCUAGAGUGCAGGAGAGGAAGGUAGAAUUCCCGGUGUAGCGGUGAAAUGCGUAGAGAUCGGGAGGAAUACCAGUGGCGAAGGCGGCCUUCUGGACUGACACUGACACUGAGGUGCGAAAGCGUGGGUAGCAAACAGGAUUAGAUACCCCGGUAGUC